rnacentral:rRNA from 1 species
AGAGUUUGAUCCUGGCUCAGAUUGAACGCUGAUGCCUUACACAUGCAAGUCGAACGGCAGCACGGGUGCUUGCACCUGGUGGCGAGUGGCGAACGGGUGAGUAAUACAUCGGAACGUACCUUAUCGUGGGGGAUAACGCAGCGGAAGUUGCGCUAAUACCGCAUACGCCCUGAGGGGGAAAGCGGGGGACCGAAGGCCUCGCGCGAUUAGAGCGGCCGAUGUUUGAUUAGCUUGUUGGUGAGGUAAAAGCUCACCAAGGCGAUGAUCAGUAGCAGGUCUGAGAGGACGAUCAGCCACACUGGGACUGCUCACCAAGGCGAUGAUCAGUAGCAGGUCUGAGAGGACGAUCAGCCACACUGGGACUGCUCACCAAGGCGAUGAUCAGUAGCAGGUCUGAGAGGACGAUCAGCCACACUGGGACUGAACACGGCCCAGACUCCUACGGGAGGCAGCAGUGGGGAAUUUUGGACAAUGGGGGCAACCCUGAUCCAGCAAUGCCGCGUGAGUGAAGAAGGCCUUCGGGUUGUAAAGCUCUUUUGUCAGGGAAGAAACAGCAGCUCUAACACAGUCUGCGAAUGACGGUACCUGAAGAAUAAGCACCGGCUAACUACGUGCCAGCAGCCGCGGUAAUACGUAGGGUGCGAGCGUUAAUCGGAAUUACUGGGCGUAAAGCGUGCGCAGGCGGUUAUACAAGACAGGCGUGAAAUCCCCGGGCUUAACCUGGGAAUGGCGUCUGUGACUGUAUAGCUAGAGUGUGUCAGAGGGGGGUGGAAUUCCACGUGUAGCAGUGAAAUGCGUAGAUAUGUGGAGGAACACCAAUGGCGAAAGGCAGCCCCCUGGGAUAACACUGACGCUCAUGCACGAAAGCGUGGGGAGCAAACAGGAUUAGAUACCCUGGUAGUCCACGCCCUAAACGAUGCUGACUAGUUGUUGGGAAUUUACAUUCUCAGUAACGUAGCUAACGCGUGAAGUCAGCCGCCUGGGGGAGUACGGUCGCAGAUUAAAACUCAAAGGAAUUGACGGGGACCCGCACAAGCGUGAUGAUGUGAUUAUUCGAUGCACGCGAAAA